CAAUAGCGUAUACUAACGUUGUUGCAGUUAAAAAGCUCGUAGUUGGAUUUCUGUGGGGGACACGCGGCCGGCCAUCAGUGGUUGUAGCUAGUGUUGUUUUCUGCAUCUUGUCGCAAUUGCCACUGCCAUUCACUUGGUGGUGUGCAGGACCGACUCAUUUACUUUGAGAAAAUUAGAGUGUUCAAAGCAGGCUAUCGCCUCUGAAUAUGUUAGCAUGGAAUAAUGAUAUAGGACCUUGGUUCUAUUUUGUUGGUUUCUAGAGCUGAGGUAAUGAUUAAUAGGGAUAGUUGGGGGCAUUCGUAUUUAACUGUCAGAGGUGAAAUUCUUGGAUUUGUUUAAAGACGGACUACUGCGAAAGCAUUUGUCCAAGGAUGUUUUCAUUGAUCAAGAACGAAAGUUAGGGAUCGAAGAAGAUCAGAUACCGU
rnacentral:rRNA from 1 species